GCCUGAGUGGUGAAAUUGGUAGACACGCCAGACUCAAAAUCUGGUGGUAGCAAUAUCGUGCCGGUUCGAGUCCGGCCUCAGGUACCA
rnacentral:tRNA from 1 species